GCUUGUAACCUAGAAUUAAAACCAGAAGCUUUAGGAAAAAUGCUAGUAGUAGAAACUCCCUCUAAAGGACUACUAGAGGCUCAUUGCGUAUAUAAGGACUAUAGGAUAAAAACUUCAAGGAUAGAAAUAUGUGUAACUUGAUACUAAUAGAUUUUGUAGGAUUGAUGUAAUAUUAGGAAUAGAUUGGUUAGAAAAGUAU
rnacentral:lncRNA from 1 species